rnacentral:lncRNA from 1 species
UUUCAUUAUGUAAGAUGUCAACAUUAGGGGAGCAAGGGAAGAGAGUGGGGAAAUAGACCAAAGUAGUUUUGUUAUUUUUCUGUAAUGACUAAAAAUUACUUGAAAUUAAAAUUUUACCAAGUUUAAAUUCUGAUUCCAUAGAUCUGGUGAUUUCAUAAACUCAAACAAUGCAAUGCUGAUCCAUGCUGUGGACCAUUCUGCUAGCAAGCCUCUGGCAGACAGAGCUAAAAUCAUCUCGCACAACUGGCAUGUGGGAGACUCACUGGACUGCACGGAGGCUAUGCUCCAAGUGUAGCCAUCACUGACUGCGGGUGUGCCUCAAACUGCAGAGUGCUGAGCCCCUAGCCCAGCUCGGCCCAGUAUACCUGGUCCUGGGAGAAGCCAAGAGUCUGAAAUCACAGUGUUUGCUGCACACAUCUGACUGACCUUCCCCAGCUGAGCCUGAAGCCCCUUCCAAGUCUGCAGAGCCAGAACCAUUCUCUCAAUUUGAGACAGCUACAGGAAGUAUGGACCUGACACCUCUCCCUUCUGCUGGUGGACAUAUCACCAAGACUUCAAGGAGGUAGGAGAGUGGGGUGAAGAAAAGUUUUGAAUUCCUGCUCAAAGUGACUGACCAACCUAUUCUUUUAAAAUGAUUUC